rnacentral:rRNA from 1 species
UGGGGAAUAUUGCACAAUGGGCGCAAGCCUGAUGCAGCCAUGCCGCGUGUGUGCAGAAGGCCUUCGGGUUGUAAAGCACUUUCAGCGGGGAGGAAGGCGUUAAGGUUAAUAACCUUGGCGAUUGACGUUACCCGCAGAAGAAGCACCGGCUAACUCCGUGCCAGCAGCCGCGGUAAUACGGAGGGUGCAAGCGUUAAUCGGAAUUACUGGGCGUAAAGCGCACGCAGGCGGUCUGUCAAGUCGGAUGUGAAAUCCCCGGGCUCAACCUGGGAACUGCAUUCGAAACUGGCAGGCUAGAGUCUUGUAGAGGGGGGUAGAAUUCCAGGUGUAGCGGUGAAAUGCGUAGAGAUCUGGAGGAAUACCGGUGGCGAAGGCGGCCCCCUGGACGAAGACUGACGCUCAGGUGCGAAAGCGUGGGGAGCAAACAGG